AAGGCCUUAGUUUAACAAAAACAUUUGAUUUGCAAUUAGAUAAUGCAAGAUAGAGUCUUGUAGGUCUUA
rnacentral:tRNA from 2 species